CUCCUCCUCCUCCUCAUCAUCAUCAUCCUCAUCAUCACUAUCAUCUAAAAAUUCAUCUUCCUGCUCAUUUCCUCCUUGGCUCUCGUCCAGAUCCUCAUCGAUUUCGCCAUCCUUUCCGUUAUGCAAAGAAAAGCAAGAUUCACAGAUAGAAACAGUGGGCCCAAACUUAGGACCGGAUGCUUUCCACGGCGUCGGAGAUUGACAAACUUGGCAAAGAAGACUUCUGGAAUGUUUGGCCACAAGAAAAUUAGCACAGUGGACCUUCUCAUCGCAGUCCCAACACAAGCUAGCUUGGUCUGAUUCGCAAUACAUUCUCGCGGCGCCAUCACAAAGCUCACACCCUUUCAUCUCUCUAUCUCUUCGUCUCAGCUCUCUCUCUGUGUUUUCCUUUUGGGGUUUGAAGAUUUCUAUUGAAGAAGAAGAAAAAGAAAAGAAGAAGAGGAAGAGGUAAAGGAAAAGCACAACUUGCAGGGAUUUAUCAAAACCACCCUAAUUUCCCGCAUAUAAUUACGUGAUAUUUUUUUUUUUUAAAUCGCUCUUACUCUCAAAAAUUAAUUAAAUAAAAAUAAAAAUA
rnacentral:misc_RNA from 1 species